UCAGGUUGUUGUAUCUGGUCUGUAACUGGUCUCUCUCUUCAGUCAGGUUGUUGUAUCUGGUCUGUAACUGGUCUCUCUCUUCAGUCAGGUUGUUGUAUCUGGUCUGUAACUGGUCUCUCUCUUCAGUCAGGUUGUUGUAUCUGGUCUGUAACUGGUCUCUCUCUUCAGUCAGGUUGUUGUAUCUGGUCUGUAACUGGUCUCUCUCUCAACUCUCAGUUGUGUUUGUCUUAUAAAGGGAAAAACUCUGG